CUUGAGAGUCCCUUGGACUGCAAGGAGAUACAACCAGUCAAUCCUAAAGGAAGAAAUCAGUCCCUAAUAUUCAUUGGAAGGACUGAUGCGGAAGCUGAAACUCCAGUACUUUGGCCACCUGAUGCAAGCAACCGAUACAUUGGUAAAGACCCUCGUGUUGGGAAAGAU